rnacentral:pre_miRNA from 1 species
CAACUACCCCCUCUGUCCCAAAUUUCUUGUCUUAGAUUUGUCUAGAUACGGAUGUAUCUAAUACUAAAAUGUGACUUGAUACAUCCGUAUCUAGACAAAUCUAAGACAAGAAUUUUGGGACAGAUGGAGUACUUU